GCGGGGAACGCGGAUCGGAAUCUCUCAAACGCCCUAAGGCAGUGCUUCAAGUUAAAGGAUCACGCUGCUCCCAAAAAUGUCAAUUCAGGAGCUAAGAGAACAAUAUUUUUCGUAUAUUUUGUGGCCUCUUUUGAUUCCCAGAGAAGGGUCUGCUGCCCAAGGCGUGGAGGCAGCUGUCCACCCCGGCCCGCAGCCUUUGGACAGAUGGGGCCCCAUAGUCCUGGCCUGGGCUUGAGGGACUGUCUCUCAAGAAUGUUAGGGUGUCAGGAACCCUGACACUGUCAUGAAGAGCAAGCAGGAAGAACUCAGAGAAUUCAAACUCAGCUGGAAAUUGCUGGAGGAGCUGCCAGAUGCAAUCAAGGAAGAGGAGAAACACUGGGGCCUGAGAAGAGGGAAAUUAAGAGGUUGGAAGGGAUUAUGGAGACCUAAAGGGGGAAGAUGGCAAAAUGACAGGGCAACAAGGGGACACUAAGGAGGUCGGAGAAUGAAAAUCUCAGUUCAGCACACACACCCUUCCGGCUUUAAAAGUUCCCUGUCUUGGCUGGAGCUGUGGAAAUAGUGAAUCUACUGUGUGAAAGGAGUUGAUCUGAAACAGAGAGGCCUACACCUGCUAGAAAGGUGACCCAGAAGCCUGAUUCUAGAAGUCCUAAAUGCUACCAAGCACCUCCUCCCCCACCUGCAUUCCAUGGGCCUUUCUUGGAAGAAGAAAAUACUUCUCAAGGUCUGUGGCAAUAGGAAGAGGGAAAGAGAGCAGCUGCACGCUGCAAAGAGUCCUGGUGCCUGAUAUGUCUCCCACCUUUCCAUCUUCUCAAAGACACCAGAACUAGGAUGUAACUGUCUUUGCCUCUGAGCUGAGGAAAAGUCCCUGGGAGAUGGAUGCUGUAGGUGGAAGAGAUCACAGCCUCACUGCAGGCAGAAAGGCUAGGCCUGCCUCACCUGGCCAGUCGGACAUUGUCAUUGUCAUCUUUGCCCCACUCCCAGCCCUUUCCAGGGUCCACGGCAAAGUGCAAGGGCAGCAGCUUAUGCUCUGAAUCUGUAAGUGGGAUCACAGCUGGGGAGGCAAAAGACAUAUGAUCAAGGAGUCUCCAUGAGGAGAGAGGAAGGCAAAUGAACACAGACUGACUUCAGUAAAAAGGCUGAAUCAUACCAAAAGUCCCUCCCUAACUGGAGUCACUUCUCAGUUUACAUGUGAAUUACCUUAGCAUUAAAAACUAACAGGCAGAUUUUCCCUAACUAUCCAGCAUACAAUUUAGGCCAUUAAUUGCCACAGCUUCCCACCAGCUGGUCAGCUAGCACCCAUGAUGUUCUUGCUAGUUAACAUAGAUUCAGGGAAUUCAAAGUCACUAUUAAGGCAAAUAGAGUAAAGCAUCAUUUGGAAGCUUCCAUGACCUUAAUAUAUCAGAGCAGGGAAUAUAGGCUGUGUUUUUCCCCAAACCUUUUUUUUUUUCCUUUAAAUUUUAAAACCCCAGUAUAUCUCAUAGCUUAGUAAAAAAUUAUCAGUGUGCUCUGUCUGGACUCUUUCCUCAUACAUU